CAAGCCUGAACGAGCAAUGCCGCGUGAACGAGGAAGGUCUUCGGAUCGUAAAGUUCUGUUGAGAGGGAAAAAAGGGGUCAACCAGAGGAAAUGCUGGUGAAGUGAUAUUACCUUUCGAGGAAGUCACGGCUAACUACGUGCC
rnacentral:rRNA from 1 species